CAAAGCAAGAAUGGGUUUUGGCUCCAGAGGGUGUGGGGCUAGGAAGGGCUUAAGCCAAGAGGAUGGGUCUUCUACAAGGUCCUGCCAAGUGAUAAUGUAAGGGAGCUGAUCAGGAUGGCCUGUCUUAGGCCGAGAGAUGAUACCCCUGACUUGGUGGAUGGUAGGCAGGUCGAAAGUUCCCUCUGGCGGCCAUCCAACAUUGAAAGCUGGCCACUUGCUAGAACAAAAAACCUGCCACCGACCCUUUCAGACUUCAACACUGAGGUUGUUAGCUCUUACCCUGACAUCCUUAAAGUGAUCAAUCAUAAUACUUACUGGAGUAGUCUGAGUCUGUCCCAUAACAUCUGUCCAGUAAGUCCACAGAACAAAACAGAGAAACACAGAAACAAAGGGCCCCUAGAAACAGUCUUCCAACUCUGUGGAAGCAAAACUGAAAGCUAGACGACGGCCUCAUGCUGACCAGCGGGAGCGACCCACCUUGUCUCAGACCUUUCAGGGGAUUCCACAUCUCUCCAGAAGGGAGGAUCGGAAUGUCUUCUGAAACUCCCGGCCUGUGGUCUUCCAGUGUGCCCACUUAGACCAUGCCGGCACUACCAGAAUUUCAGAAAUGAGCUCACACAGAAGAGACAGGGAAUGAACAGACACUAAUGGUGGCCAGUCAGGCUCUCCGGGUCGGGGGUCCCUUGGGGGUCUUGAGGAUCCCGGAUGAGCCCCCAAAUGUUAUGCCCAGAAUUCGUGAUCCCCAAAGUCCACCAGGGAGCCGAGUCCAAUGCAGGAGCAAAGAGUCUUAUUUAAGGUAGCUCGAGCUCAAUCCUCUACGUGUACCGACGAAGUGGUGAGAUGCCAGAGAGAGAGUGGGUUUUAAAAGCACAAAGGUUUUAUAGGGAUCUAGGUGCGGUUGGUGAGGUAAUGGUCAUGGCCUUAGCCGAUUGGGUCAGAGUCCCGUUGCCAGGUGUGGUUUGAACGGGAAGUUUGAAUAGGUGAGUGGGAAUUUACUCAAGGGGAGGAGGCGUGGUCUGCAGUUUGAGCGGGAAUUUCUUUCUGUGGCCAUGUCGGGGACAUAGUCACUCAAGAUGGAGGACACAGAACAACAUGGAGUCAGCUGGCCUAGGUCUGCUCUUUCAUUUAGAAUCUGAGAAUUGGACUCUUCAGUAACCAGAAAAUGCUGAGGCAACGUUGUAUGCUGCGUUUCUCUUUGGAUGGACAAAAAACUUUGCCCCGAAGGUUGGCUGUGAACUUUCAGAAUUAGAGGAGAGAAUGUCCAUAUGAAGAUGAUCUCAUUAUUAACCAACCUGUUCUUUUUUCUCUCCCAAUCCCCACCACUGAGGAGCUUGCCUCUUCUCCAUUGAAGUUUUGGGUGAUGGGGGGGGGGGUCUAGAGCCAACGACCAAGAAAGAAUUCUUGAAGACCUCAUUGGUGCAAAAAGUGGUUUUACUAAAGCAUGGGGGCAGGAUCCAUGUGCAGGAAGAGGUGCAUGGCAAGUGGGUGGGGGUGGGGGUGGUGGUGACUGUUGGAUGGAGUCCAGAGAUAAAGUCAAGGAAAUUUACAAAGAGACCUCCAUAUGGUAAAGACUUAUUGGAGACCUAGCUAUUGUCAAGCUAAGGUUGUUUUUCCCUCUAGCAAAGCAUUAACAUUAAUAUGGUAGGGAGUUGCUGGACUUCAGGCUGUUGGUAGGAUUGCCUUUUUUAUGUAGCUUAAUAAGGUAUUUAUGAACUGAUGAAGACUCUACCAAUUUAGCCAUUUGUUUUCUGUCCUUGUCUUUGGACAGCCAGGAAGGCCUGAGGAAUGUCCUAUAUUCCACCCUGGGGGAGGGGGGUUGGGUAAUGCUAGUUUGUGCUUGGCCCUCAGCUUGCUUUUAAGCCCCCUCCUCAUCCAUGACUCAAUUUUGAGUAUUGGGGGGUGGGGUGGGGGACAUUUCUUCCUGGUGGGCUACAUAAGUGUUCAAAAUGGCAAGGAUCUCUUGGAAGAUUUGUCAAAAAUGGGUUUAGAAACAUGAAUAACCGGUCCCAGUGCAGCUUGAGAGAGGCUGGAACUUUGUUUUGCUCAAGUUUGACUCCAGGUCUGACAGCCAUCACCUUGAGCAAGUUACUAAAGCCCCCAAACUGUCAUCUUAAGAAUCGUCCCUGACUCAGCCUAAGGAGUGACUAUGUUAGACCUAGUACCUAACACAGAGAAAGCCCUCAAUUAUCCUGAUGUAGGCACUAUUGCCCUAAUGGAGUCUUGAGAGAAGGAUUCUUUCUCUAGCCUUAAACUUUCCAUGGACCUAGGUUUGCAUGCAUGGCAGCAUGCCGGGGAUUAAUUUACUUGCAAUUUCUUCCUUUCUUGAUUUUUUAGCAAUAAAAUACUCCAUAAAAAUGGGAGGUUGAUGAAAUUAUGUAAGUUAAGAGGGUUCCUUCCCCAAGCCCUCUGAUUCAUUCCCAGAACAAUCGUUUGAGAAGAGCUUUGUAAACUAGACCAGGGGCUUUGUAAAUGUCCUGGGGCAGGACUGUGAAAUGCUUCAGCUAAGGGAUACUGAUCUUAUAAAAGAUCUGCUCCGCCCACACCUAACCAAAGAGCUGAUUUCAUUAUAAGGCUGUGUCAUUUGGCUGCCCUCCAGGGUCUCUGAACAUUCUGGGAAGAAGGGAAUGGAAGAUGUGCUUUAUUGCAUUGCUCAAGCUCCCGUGAAACAGCAAAAGGGCAGAAACAGCAGUCUGAGAUGUUGGCAAUAAUUGCUGUUUAAUUCUAGAUCUGUUGUGUCAGAACCGUACCGAAGGCAUAUGAUGGGGCCUCAUCUACGGCAAAUGGUGUCAGUGUGCGUAUUGGCGGAAUGUGUCGUCUGUGUGUAUCCUUGCAAAUUACAUUUUUCAGUGUAAGCAGUAAUUCUGCCAAACAAUUACAAUGUUUACCGAAUGUGAUGCAAUCCAUCUGUUGAAAAGGCUUUUCUGUAUUUAGGCUGAUAAAAACAUAAAACAGUUGAAGACUUAACAAAACCCAUGGAUCUUGAUUUUGGGGGAGAGUGUCAUGUUCUUUCUAGUCUGCACAAUGGCAGUUGAUGGUGAAAGGUGUCCAAGCCUUGCUGGGCUCUGACGAAUUCUGUGGGAGGGGGAGAUGGCAACACUAUCCAGGCUCAACUGCCUUUCCUAAUCUACCUUCCUGCUAGGAACGGACACCAACGCAAGGUCAAGAGCAAUGCAAAGUAUUGAAAGUACAUGUUCUCCUCCCUCCGUUGCUAGUUCCUGCCUUACGGUUAAACUUGGCACGGUGUUGAUAGUGACUCAAAGCACGUUGAAGAGCCUUUCUACCGUGAGAGGUUGACUUUAUGAUGGGGGUGAGCUCAAAGCCCAUGAACUAUAGGUACUUUAUGUGAGAAAUGAGCCUGCUGCUGCAGUCAGAGGAGGAUACAAGAGACUUGGAGCACAGUGAAACAAGGCUUUCAUCAAGGUUUUGCAAGAGCAGGUGUCUGAUGGACGGGCACAAUCUGGGCAGUCAGAGCAGGUGAUUUUUUUUUUCCUAGCAUGCAGGUCCUUCUCCUCGUUCCUCAUUGGCUGAGGAUUAGAGGUUGCAGCCUUACCAGCCUCUCCCCCCACCCCCCCCCAACGUGUCACCUAUGCCCGUAUAAGGCAAAAAGUAGUCUGAUGAGAACAAACAUCUAUUCUCUGAGGUGAGGCGGAGACUUUCAGUCCCUCCUCCUUGUAUUCUAUGGUGCAUGCUCACUGCAAAGCCCAUGAAAACAAGCCCUGACUGAGAGGGAAAGAAGAACCAGCAAGUGAAGUGUCAAAAGGCUUGGGACUCCUUUGUGGGCAGGGGGACGGUGGUUUGCACCUAUUUCUAGUAGGUUGUAGAUCUCCCGCUAAGUGGACAGCACAGCUUUUUAUCUAUUUCUGAAAAUGACUCCUCUCCCUUCUCACACUUCACAAAUGUUAACUUUUUCCGAGACUUCGUUUGGGGUCCCCCAGAUACAGACCCGGAGACAAAGACUUGAUACAAGAGGUUUAUUUGGGAGGAGCAGCAAACACAGGGGAAUGAAGAAGAGACAGAGGGAAUAUGGGUAGUAAGUGAACGUAUUAAGCUAGCUACCACCAUUGGUGGCUGGAGCUUACUCUCUGAAUGAUCUAGUAUACAUCCCUCAGGAUUCUCCCCACUGAGUCAAGAGAGCUGAGGCAUUUAUGUCCACAUUCUCAGGCAGCCUUGAUUAAGCUCUGCUGCCGGGUGCUGGUCCUUAACAGCUAACCUACCACGUGUGCGGCAGCAAAGCAGCCUUCUGGAAGUGUGCCUAGAGGAUGCUGGGAGCUGACUGGAACACAAUAAAACUGUAAACUCUGAGUGAUAAAGGCUGUACUGAUGAUGUCUGCCUUAGUCUGUUCCCAUUUCUUUUAGAGGAAAUAUCAAUCAAUACUACUACUAUGACAAGAUUUGUACUUGAGGGUCAUACGGGCAGUGAAACCUAGCUUCAAGUGGGGGGCGGGACCAAGAGGACUUGAAGUGUUGGUAUGGCAAGCAACCUUCUCUGGUGGUCUGCUUUGGUAAAGCCCAUGGGAGGGAGCAGUCUGAGCCUACAAUGGGGGAGGUACAACCUACUCCCUUGAAGCUAGGACUUUGUGUUCCCACUAGUUCAUAUGGCUCUUGCGAAUUUCUCCCUUAAGAUCAUGUAACUGGUAAGUGGUGAAGCGAAGUUUCAAACACCAGUCCAUCUGCUAUUAAAACCCGUGGUAUGAUUAUUGUACAUGAAACACCAUCCCCUACGGCAGUGGUUCCCAACCAUGGUAGGGAUGACAGCUGUGCUCCCCAGGAAACAUUUGGCAAUGACUGGAGAUAGUUCUGUUAUCACAACUUGGCCAUUACUGGCAUCUGGUGAGUAGAGGCCGGGGAUGCUGCCUAAUCCUGCACAAUGAACAGGAGAGUGCCUUCAAUAAAGAAUUAUCUGGCCAAAACGUCAGUAAUGUGUAAGGUUGAGAAAGCUUUCCCUAAAGGUUAAAGGCACGGGUUCUGGUCCUCCUACCUACUGAGAGUAUUAUUAGGGAGCCCAAAGUCCCUCUGGUCCUCUCUCACAAAAAGGAGAGGUAUGAAUUCUUAAUACGUGGGUCUUGGAGCACCUGGGUGGCUUAGUCUGACUUUGGUUCAGGUCAUGAUCUUGCAGUUCCUAGGUUCAAGUCCCACAUUGGGCUCUGUGCUGACAGCUGGGAGCCUGGAGCCCGCUUCAGAGUCUGUCUGUCUCUCUGAUUCCCCAACCCUACUUGGAGAAUCUUCAUUACACAAUGGUUUCUAGAACUGGUAAAAACUGUUGAUCGUUUUAGAUAUGUAAUAUGCUUUAAGUGACUCCAAAUAGAAGCUGCUAUCAUGACUACGUGUGCUGAUUUCAUCAGUAGAACCAGCCUUGGCAGAGAAGUCAGAUCGUUCAGAAUAUAACCAGAUUGGGAAGUUGAUAGAGGUGGACGUUGUAGGCUGGGAUAUGGAGACAUUUGGUGGCUAUAAGCUUUAAUGCCCUGUCCUGAUGAAUGGUUUUGUGACUACAGUAGACUGUGGGACUUCAGUUACUGUAUAAAAUCUUAGUUAAUGCUGUCUAUAAAAUGCUGGGAAUAGGGCGUUUAUCACAGCAAGCUUGUUGGAUUUAUUUCCGUAUUCUCAAAGCACAGCCUCGUGUUAGUCACAGGAUUUAACAAAUGUUGACUACAUGGACUGAAGUUGCAGUGAAAGAGCUUUUCUUUUCUUUUUUUUUAUUUUUUUUAAAUGUUUGUUUCUAAGAGCAAGAGAGAGCAUAAGUGGUGAAGGGGCAGAGAGAGGCAGACCUAGAAUCCAAGGCAGGCUGAGCUGUCAUCACAAAGCCUGACACGGGGCUCUAACCCAUGGACCACAAGAUCAUGCCCUGAGCUGGAGUUGACACUUAAGCAACUGAGCCACACAGGUGCCCUGUGAACGAACUUUUCUAAUGGGACAGUUGGGUAGAUGGCCUGGACUAGGCAAUUGGAAUGGGGCACCUACAAGCAUAGUGACUCUGACAAUCUUCUCAAGCUCAUCCAAACCUUCGUGAGAGUUAGAAGAUAAAGUGCAGUCAGCUGCCUUAGACUCACUCAGAUCUUCUUUCCUGGGUCAGCAGGUCUAUCAAUCACAUGUGGGAUGCUAAGAGUUCAGAUGUAUGUUUCUCCAGAAAGUUGCCCUUAGCUGAUGAGCACCACUUCCUGUAGAAAUGUCCCCAGGGGUGGCCCAAGACCAACAACUGACUGAUGCUGGGAUACAAAAGCACAGAUCACUUGCCUCAGGUGAUUGCUACUGAAAGUACUCCUUCAAGUUACUCCUACAAGAAUCCCAGAGCUUAGGAAACCCGACUUAAACCCUUGGCACCAGGAAUGAGGCUCAAAAUCUACAUGUGUGGAUGUCCUUGUCCAGAAGCUGCUGGCUUUGUAAAGUGGCUAAACAACCUCUUGAAGGCAUAACUCAAGUGCCAGCUGGAGUUACCUACAAGGAGGGGGGACUAUCCUUUUGGAUGCAGAAUUUACCUUAAACCAAUGGCUACUACGUGUUGCUGGCCUCCCACUAGUAAAACACUUCACAUGGCUCUGGGAGCCAAGACGGGGUAAGUAGGGAUGCUUUUCAAGGUGGGAUGACUUUGAUCCCUUCAUACCCCCCAUGCUCUUGAUAGAAUGAAGUCUGAGCUACACCUUCAGGUAAAAUCACAUCUUUGAACUUGGGUCUUGUCUUCCUUCCCUCCCCUUCUAUGCAUGGUUCUCUUUUAGGGCGGUUCCCUCGCUUUGAUGAGGAUCUGGAUCCACUUUGACAGAUCUGUCUGGAUCUGCUUCUAAAGAAUUUAUCUCAGGGUUAAAACAAGACCUCUAAAUCCAAAGAAUACAGAGAUGAUUUCAAAGUCUGUCCACCAUUUAUAGACCUAGAAGACUCUGACCCUUGAUUAGCCAGUUAAGGAAGUAGAGAUGCUGUGAGAGAGCAAGUUAUCCAUAAUUACCUAGAAGCAAAGCUGACCCUGAACCUGCAGCCGACUCUAGAGGUGUCUUUACUUCCUGCUGCAGCAUUUCCUGCUGGCUGCUCAGGCUAUCUGUUAACACUUAAGGACUCAAUAAUUUCCUGCAGGGUCUCACCACCUUUUAGCUUCUCCCUCCUGGUCUGGCUGGUCAGGGAAGAUAGCAUAUGACAAUCACCAGUGGUGUCUUGGAUGGGUCACAGGAAGCUAGAACUGUUCCUCUAGAAAGGUCCUUUCAGCCCUAGACUGUCCACAGCUAUGACCUAGUGUUUCUUCUUAGAGCUAGACCUGUCAGGCAGGUGCUCAGGUAUUUCUAGCUGUCGCCCAGUUCCAAAGAUGCUCUGGAGCAUUUUUCAUCACACACAUCGAUCAUUUCUUCAGGAAGUUGAUUUGGUUUCACUUCAUUGAAGUCAAUCCUCUUAGCAGCCAUAGCUCUAGAGCUAGUCAAGUGAGCUUAUUUAUAUCUCUUGAAGUACCAAAUCUAUGGAUAUACUUUGUUCCAGCCUUCUGAAAGGGACUCUAAAGGGCACCUGGGUGACUCGGUCGGUUAAGCAUCCAACUCUUGACUUUGGGCUCGGGUCGUGAUCUCAAGGUUCAUGGGAUCAAGCCUUGCAUUGGGCUUUGUACUCACAGUGCUGACUCUGCUUGGGAUUCUCUCUCUCCCCCUCUCUGCCCCUCCACCACUCAUGCUCUUUCAAAAUAUUAAAUGAAAUGGACUUUGAGAGUGAGGGAAGUAUUGAAUAGAUGGAGCAAGUACUGAUGAGAAAGGUGGUUCCUCACUUGAGCAAUUCUGCAGUAAGCCUGUGUGCUGAUGUCCACUCUAUUCCACAAGUUCAAUGGCCAGGCCAGCUCUUAAGCCACAUAGGUCAGGUUUCAAAGUCAAACGGACUGGACUUGAUGUGCAUGAGCUAUUCUAGGCCUGGCAGACCUAAUGAAAAGACUUGAGGCACACGAGAAGGUAUUUAAAAGAUCAGUUUGGGGGCACCUGGGUGGCUCAGUCGGUUAAGUGUCUGACUUGGGCUCAGGUCAUGAGCUCUUGGUCUGUGUGCAUUUGAGCCCCAUGUCGGGCCCUGUGCUGACAGCUCGGAGCCUGGAGCCUGCUUUGGAUUCUGUGUCUCCCUCUGUCUCUGCCCCUCCCCACUCACCCUCAGUCUUGGUCUCUCAAACAAAAAAAUAAUCAACACUUAAAAGAUCAGUUUGGCAGUGAGUGUCAAGAAAGGAUUUAAGGAUGUUUUCUGCUCUCCAGUCAGAGAUUUGUUAUACCAGACAGAAAUGGCACGACCCUUCUGCGAUGCCCUGGAUUCAUUUCAGCUUGUUUGUUCUCCUCGUCUUGACCAACAACCAUGAGACCCACCGGAAGCCAGCUAGUUCCUUGCCCUGGAACCGUCAGGGUUGCCAUUCCCGAGCCAGGCUGACCACCUGCAUGCUUGGAGUUGUGGGCUCCUUCUGCCACUUCUAGUCAAGAGUGAGACCUCAGACCUCAGGGCAUAGGCUCUUGCACCCCAAGCAGCCGAAAGGGGGGGAGGGGCAGGUGAUAAAACUCCCUCCCUCUGGUCAAAGCAAAUUUUGACCAGAAGGAAAUGAGACAUGGGAGAUGGCUGGGGAGAUUAAAAAAAAAAAAAAAAGAAAAAAGAAAAAAGAAAAACGUCUUCCCUGUGAUGAACUACUCUGGUUCGGUUUGUCCUCAUGCCUCUCUGGAGAAGUCUCGCACGUUGUCCAAAUGCAUGUGCCAAGCAAUACGCUACGUCGCUUCAGUUUAUCACCAGGUGGGUGCUGGUAUGAUAUUGUACCCCUUCACGUUGCUUCCCUUCUUUGUUGCCUCACUUCCCUUUUUCCUCAUCCUUGCUAAUUGGGCUGGGUAUCCCUUAAAUACAUCAUUAGCACUUUAAUCCUUUUCUCAGGAUCUGCUUUCUGGAGAACACUGGCUCACUUUUGAGUCCUUGAUAUUUCCCGCUGAUCGUUUGUCACUGCUUGAUGGAGUGUCUUCCAUGAAGGCCGUGUUGACAACGAUGCUACCUUCUCCCCUGCCUCCUGAGCCAGCCACCCCUCUGUAUGCCAGAACUUCGGAUUUUCGUAUCUCCCAGCACUUAAUGUUUAUCAGCUUUUGCAUCUAAUAAAAAACGAAAUCUUCUAACCCCAUUCA